AUGUUCUCCAGGCCUUUUAGAAAAGAGUUGUUCUUUUGGCCACAUACACGUGAAGCUACAAGAAAGGUGAUACUGCAGACAUCAAGGGAAUAGGUACUGUUCAAAAAGGAACACCUCACAAAUGUUACCAUGGCAAACCUGGAAGAGUCUACAAUGUUACCCUGCACGCUGUUGGCAUUGUUGUAAACAAACCAGUUAAGGGCAAGAUUCUUGCCAAGAGAAUUAACCUGCAUACUGUGCAGGUGCUAAAGCACACU
rnacentral:lncRNA from 1 species